rnacentral:rRNA from 1 species
CAGUCGAACGAAGCACUUUAUUUGAUUUCCUUCGGGACUGAUUAUUUUGUGACUGAGUGGCGGACGGGUGAGUAACGCGUGGGUAACCUGCCUUGUACAGGGGGAUAACAGUUGGAAACGGCUGCUAAUACCGCAUAAGCGCACAGCAUCGCAUGAUGCAGUGUGGAAAACUCCGGUGGUAUAAGAUGGACCCGCGUUGGAUUAGCUAGUUGGUGGGGUAACGGCCCACCAAGGCGACGAUCCAUAGCCGACCUGAGAGGGUGACCGGCCACAUUGGGACUGAGACACGGCCCAAACUCCUACGGGAGGCAGCAGUGGGGAAUAUUGCACAAUGGGCGAAAGCCUGAUGCAGCGACGCCGCGUGAGCGAAGAAGUAUUUCGGUAUGUAAAGCUCUAUCAGCAGGGAAGAUAAUGACGGUACCUGACUAAGAAGCACCGGCUAAAUACGUGCCAGCAGCCGCGGUAAUACGUAUGGUGCAAGCGUUAUCCGGAUUUACUGGGUGUAAAGGGAGCGCAGGCGGUGCGGCAAGUCUGAUGUGAAAGCCCGGGGCUCAACCCCGGUACUGCAUUGGAAACUGUCGUACUAGAGUGUCGGAGGGGUAAGCGGAAUUCCUAGUGUAGCGGUGAAAUGCGUAGAUAUUAGGAGGAACACCAGUGGCGAAGGCGGCUUACUGGACGAUAACUGACGCUGAGGCUCGAAAGCGUGGGGA